rnacentral:rRNA from 1 species
CACGUAGGGGGGCAAGCGUUGUCCGGAUUUAUUGGGCGUAAAGAGCUCGUAGGUGGUUCGGUAAGUCGGGUGUUAAACCCCCAGGCUCAACCUGGGGACGCCACUCGAUACUGCUGUGACUAGAGUCCGGUAGGGGAGCGUGGAAUUCCUGGUGUAGCGGUGAAAUGCGCAGAUAUCAGGAGGAACACCAGCGGCGAAGGCGGCGCUCUGGGCCGGUACUGACACUGAGGAGCGAAAGCGUGGGUAGCAAACAGG